UGGUGGAGUGAUUUGUCUGGUUAAUUCCGUUAACGAACGAGACCUCAGCCUGCUAAUUAGAUGUGGCAAUCUUCGGAUUGUUUGCAUCUUCUUAGAGGGACUAUCGGUUAUUAGCCGAUGGAAGUAUGAGGCAAUAACA
rnacentral:rRNA from 1 species